GACCUCCGUCGCCACCAGAGGCAAUUUCUGGUGCGGCGGAGACGGAGGUGGGACGGUGAGUGUUUUGGUUCAUGAUAUGUUUGAAUUCUUAACCUGACUCCCUCUAUUUUCCUUACGUGGAAUUUGUCUUAGGCCUUUGUUAUUUAGAAAAGAAGGUUUCUGAUUCCGAAAAGGAAUUAGAAACUCUUAAGAAAUCUAUGAUAGAGGCUACUAAAGGAAAAACUGAAGAUGAUAAGGGAUUUUG
rnacentral:lncRNA from 1 species